GACGUAGGAGGCGAGCGUUAUCCGGAUUCACUGGGCGUAAAGCGCAUGUAGGCGGUUGUGUAAGUCCGCUGUUAAAGCCCCUGGCUCAACUGGGGGAGGUCAGUGGAGACUACUCGACUUGAGGGCAACAGAGGCACGUGGAACUCCCGGUGUAGCGGUGGAAUGCGUAGAGAUCGGGAAGAACACCAGUGGCGAAGGCGACGUGCUGGGUUGCGACUGACGCUGAGAUGCGAAAGUGUGGGGAGCAAACGGGAUUAGAAACCCCCGUAGUCC
rnacentral:rRNA from 1 species